CAGUAGCCGCGGUAAGACAGAGGUCCCGAGCGUUGUUCGGAUUCAUUGGGCGUAAAGGGUGUGUAGGAGGCCAGGUAAGUCAGGUGUGAAAUCUCAGAGCUUAACUCUGAAACUGCGCUUGAUACUGCUUGGCUAGAGGAUCGGAGGGGGUAACGGAAUUUAUGGUGUAGCAGUGAAAUGCGUAGAUAUCAUAAGGAACACCGGUGGCGAAGGCGGUUACCUGGAAGAUUCCUGACUCUGAAACACGAAAGCCAGGGGAGCAAACGGGAUUAGAUACCCCCGUAGUCCCUGUCUCUUAUAC
rnacentral:rRNA from 1 species